rnacentral:rRNA from 1 species
GACGAACGCUGGCGGCGUGCCUAAUACAUGCCAGUUGAGCGCUGAAGGUUGGUACUUGUACCAACUGGAUGAGCAGCGAACGGGUGAGUAACGCGUGGGGAAUCUGCCUUUGAGCGGGGGACAACAUUUGGAAACGAAUGCUAAUACCGCAUAAAAACUUUAAACACAAGUUUUAAGUUUGAAAGAUGCAAUUGCAUCACUCAAAGAUGAUCCCGCGUUGUAUUAGCUAGUUGGUGAGGUAAAGGCUCACCAAGGCGAUGAUACAUAGCCGACCUGAGAGGGGGGUCGGCCACAUGGAGACUGGGACACGGCCCAAAAUCCCACGGGAGGGGGCAGGAGGGGAACUUAGGCAAAGGACGAAAGUCUGAACGAGCAACGCCGGGGGAGUGAAGAAGGGUUUCGGAUCGUAAAACUCUGUUGGUAGAGAAGAAAGUUGGUGAGGGUGGAAAGCUCAUCAAGUGACGGUAACUAAACAGAAAGGGACGGCUAACUACGUG